rnacentral:rRNA from 1 species
GAUGAACGCUGGCGGCGUGCCUAAUACAUGCAAGUCGAGCGAACAGACGAGGAGCUUGCUCCUCUGACGUUAGCGGCGGACGGGUGAGUAACACGUGGAUAACCUACCUAUAAGACUGGGAUAACUUCGGGAAACCGGAGCUAAUACCGGAUAAUAUAUUGAACCGCAUGGUUCAAUAGUGAAAGACGGUUUUGCUGUCACUUAUAGAUUGAUCCGCGCCGCAUUAGCUAGUUGGUAAGGUAACGGCUUACCAAGGCAACGAUGCGUAGCCGACCUGAGAGGGUGAACGGCCAGCCUGGAAGUGAGACACGGUCCAGACUCCUACGGGAGGCAGCAGUAGGGAAUCUUACGCAAUGCGCGAAAGCCUGACGGAGCAACGCCGCGUGAGUGAUGAAGGUCUUCGGAUCGUAAAACUCUGUUAUUAGGGAAGAACAAAUGUGUAAGUAACUAUGCACGUCUUGACGGUACCUAAUCAGAAAGCCACGGCUAACUACGUG